rnacentral:rRNA from 1 species
UAGGGAAUCUUCGGCAAUGGGGGGAACCCUGACCGAGCAACGCCGCGUGAGUGAAGAAGGUUUUCGGAUCGUAAAGCUCUGUUGUUAAGGAAGAACGAGUGUGAGAAUGGAAAGUUCAUACUGUGACGGUACUUAACCAGAAAGGGACGGCUAACUACGUGCCAGCAGCCGCGGUAAUACGUAGGUCCCGAGCGUUGUCCGGAUUUAUUGGGCGUAAAGCGAGCGCAGGCGGUUAGAAAAGUCUGAAGUGGAAGGCAGUGGCUCAACCAUUGUAGGCUUUGGAAACUGUUUAACUUGAGUGCAGAAGGGGAGAGUGGAAUUCCAUGUGUAGCGGUGAAAUGCGUAGAUAUAUGGAGGAACACCGGUGGCGAAAGCGGCUCUCUGGUCUGUAACUGACGCUGAGGCUCGAAAGCGUGGGGAGCGAACAGGAUUAGAUACCCUGGUAGUCCACGCCGUAAACGAUGAGUGCUAGGUGUUAGGUCCUUUCCGGGACUUAGUGCCGCAGCUAACGCAUUAAGCACUCCGCCUGGGGAGUACGACCGCNGGNU